GAUGAACGCUAGCUACAGGCUUAACACAUGCAAGUCGAGGGGAAACGACAUCGAAAGCUUGCUUUUGAUGGGCGUCGACCGGCGCACGGGUGAGUAACGCGUAUCCAACCUGCCCACCACUUGGGGAUAACCUUGCGAAAGUAAGACUAAUACCCAAUGAUAUCCCACGAAGACAUCUGAAUGGGAUUAAAGAUUUAUCGGUGAUGGAUGGGGAUGCGUCUGAUUAGCUUGUUGGCGGGGUAACGGCCCACCAAGGCAACGAUCAGUAGGGGUUCUGAGAGUAAGGUCCCCCACAUUGGAACUGAGACACGGUCCAAACUCCUACGGGAGGCAGCAGUGAGGAAUAUUGGUCAAUGGGCGAGAGCCUGAACCAGCCAAGUAGCGUGCAGGAAGACGGCCCUAUGGGUUGUAAACUGCUUUUAUAAGGGAAUAAAGUGGGUCACGUGUGACUUUUUGCAUGUACCUUAUGAAUAAGGACCGGCUAAUUCCGUG
rnacentral:rRNA from 1 species